rnacentral:rRNA from 1 species
AACGAACGCUGGCGGCAGGCUUAACACAUGCAAGUCGAGCGCCCUGCAAGGGGAGCGGCAGACGGGUGAGUAACGCGUGGGAAUCUACCGUGCCCUACGGAAUAGCUCCGGGAAACUGGAAUUAAUACCGUAUACGCCCUACGGGGGAAAGAUUUAUCGGGGUAUGAUGAGCCCGCGUUGGAUUAGCUAGUUGGUGGGGUAAAGGCCUACCAAGGCGACGAUCCAUAGCUGGUCUGAGAAGAUGAUCAGCCACAUUGGGACUGAGACACGGCCCAAACUCCUACGGGAGGCAGCAGUGGGGAAUAUUGGACAAUGGGCGCAAGCCUGAUCCAGCCAUGCCGCGUGAGUGAUGAAGGUCUUAGGAUUGUAAAGCUCUUUCACCGGUGAAGAUAAUGACGGUAGCCGGAGAAGAAGCCCCGGCUAACUUCGUGCCAGCAGCCGCAGUAACAC